rnacentral:rRNA from 1 species
CCUACGGGUGGCAGCAGUGGGGAAUUUUGGACAAUGGGCGCAAGCCUGAUCCAGCUAUUCCGCGUGUGGGAUGACGGCCUUCGGGUUGUAAACCACUUUUGUAGAGAACGAAAAGUCUGUUGAUAAUACCGAUAGAUGAUGACGGUACUCUAAGAAUAAGCACCGGCUAACUACGUGCCAGCAGCCGCGGUAAUACGUAGGGUGCGAGCGUUAAUCGGAAUUACUGGGCGUAAAGGGUGUGCAGGCGGUUUUGCAAGAUGGAUGUGAAAGCCCCGGGCUUAACCUGGGAAAGCCAUACAUGACUGCAAGACUAGAGUGCGUCAGAGGGGGGUGGAAUUCCAAGUGUAGCAGUGAAAUGCGUAGAUAUUUGGAAGAACACCAGUGGCGAAGGCGGCCGCCUGGCCUGUGACUGACGCUGAGGCACGAAAGCGUGGGGAGCAAAUAGGAUUAGAUACCCUGGUAGUC